rnacentral:rRNA from 1 species
AGCCAUGGUGGCAUGCCUAACACAUGCAGUCGAACGCAGUAGCAAUACUGAGUGGCAAACGGGUGAGUAUAAUGUGGGAAUCUGCCUUUUGGUUUGGAAUAACACGGGGAAACUUGUGCUAAUACCGAAUAAGCCCUUACGGGGAAAGUUUUAACGCCGAAAGAUGAGCCCGCACUUGAUUAGCUAGUUGGUAAGGUAAAAGCUUACCAAGGCCAACGAUCAAUAUCUUGUCUCUAAAGAGGAAAAACCCCCCACUUUUGGGACUGAAACACGGGCCCAGACUCCUACGGGAGGCAGCAGUGGGGAAUCUUGCACAAUGGGGGAAACCCUGAUGCAGCGAUGCCGCGUGAGUGAAGAAGGCCCUUGGGUUGUAAAACUCUUUCGUCGGGGAAGAAAAUGACUGUACCCGAAUAAGAAGGUCCGGGCUAACUUCGUGCCAGCAGCCCGCGGUAAUACGAAGGACCCUAGCGUAUUUCGGAAUAUAUGGGGCUAUAAAAGCCCGGAGGGGGUGGUUAAAAAAGUUGAUGGUGAAAUCCCAAGGCUCAACCUUGGAACUGCCAUCAAAACUUUUUAGCUAGAGUGUGAUAGAGGUAAGUGGAAAUUUCUAGUGUAGAGGUGAAUUUCGUAGAUAUUAGAAAGAACAACCAAAUGCGAAGGCAACUUACUGGUCACUACUGACACUGGAGGAGCGAAAGCAUGGUAGCGAAGAGGAUUAGAUACCCUCGUAGUCAUUGCGUAAACGAUGUGUGCUAAACUUGGAAAAUAUUUUUCAUGGCGCGCGAAAGCUUAAGCACCGCCUGGGGUCGACGCAGGUUAAACCCAAGAUUGCGGGAGG